rnacentral:rRNA from 1 species
UACGGAGGGUGCAAGCGUUAAUCGGAAUUACUGGGCGUAAAGCGUGCGUAGGCGGUUUAUUAAGUCAGAUGUGAAAGCCCCGGGCUUAACCUGGGAACUGCAUUUGAAACUGGUCAACUAGAGUAUGGUAGAGGAAAGUGGAAUUUCUGGUGUAGCGGUGAAAUGCGUAGAUAUCAGAAGGAACAUCAAUGGCGAAGGCAGCUUUCUGGACCAAUACUGACGCUGAGGUACGAAAGCGUGGGUAGCAAACAGGAUUAGAUACCCUGGUAGUCCACGCCGUAAACGAUGAUAACUAGCCGUUGGGGGGAUUUACCCUUUAGUGGCGAAGCUAACGCGUUAAGUUAUCCGCC